AUGCGACCUGUACUACACGCAUGGCCGACGGAAUUGCACAUGUGCUCCGCACCGCACAGGCGCAUCGCCUUUACUGCACUGGGACAGGGAACCAAGAUCGCCCUCCUCUUCUUGCUUGGAGAAGAGUGUCGCUCAGCUGACUGCACCUGGCACGUCACCAAGCUGCAUGACCAGGGAACUGCAAAAAAAAAUGGAACACACUACAAAAGCACUGAGGCGAUGAAGCUGGUGCUCAGAUUAACCACACGCAGAGGAAAAGAAAACCUCACCUGGCCAGCCACUGAGCUAUACCACAACGACCACCAGAGUGCACCACAGCAACUACCGGAGUGCACUGCAUUGCUGCCGUCAUCGCCGGCGCGCUCAUGA
rnacentral:rRNA from 1 species